CUUCAGAGGAGGCUCUUCUGAGGCUUCUGCCAGUGGUCAAAGCCUCCAACAAAGCUCUACUCAGUCACUGUAACCUCUCAGAGAGAAGCUGUGAAGCUCUGUCCUCAGUUCUCAGCUCUCAAGCCUCCUGUCUGAGGGUGCUGGACCUGAAUGAUAACAACCUGCAAGAUUCAGGAGUGAAGCUUCUGUCUACUGGGGUGAACAGUCCAUACUGCAAACUGGAAAUUCUGCGGUCAGAUCAAGUGAUAUUAGGGUUUUUUUUUUCAUCAAUUGGCAAAAAACUCUGAUAAGUAAACUUCAUUCAUAUGUGUUUGUACUUUUAGUAUUUCAGUCCAAGUCAGAGUAAACUGUCACAUUUCUGUCUUCUUUAAGAUGAGGCAAUGAGGAUUCCAGCAAGUCCUGAAAAAGUAUUAAAUACUGCCAAAUCCAAUAGCUUCUAACUGCACCAUCAAUAGACUUUAACACAAGUGUUUUUUGUCUUCCCGUUCAACAAUUUUCAGGCUGAAUGUCUGUAACCUGUCAGAGAGAAGCUGUGAAACACUGUCCUCAGUUCUCAGCUCCGAGUCCUGUAGUCUGAGAGAGUUGGACCUGAGUAACAACAACAUAAAGGAGUCAGGACUGCAGCUUCUUUCUGCUGCAGUGGAGAGUCCAUACUGUACACUGGAAAUUCUCAGGGUGCCCAAGAAAGUCCAGCAGGUGCCAGGACCAUAUCCUAAAAGAUGAGUUAGCUGCAGGAUCAGGGUUCUACCAGUGCAAAGCUUGCUCGGGAAUGGCAGGGGGCAGGUGUAAGUGCAUCUGGAUGCACAGUGAGGUGAAGACGGUGUCAAGAAGUGUCAAGAAGGGCAGCUAAAAAGCAUCAGGUACAAACUGAUAUUCUGCAAAAAAGUACAGCAUGUCGACUGCUGAAGACUGGGAUAAAAGUCAUUUUCUCUGAUGAAGCCCCUUUCCGAUUGUUUGGGGCAUCUGGAAAAAGGAUUUUCUGGAGAAGAAACGGUGAGCGCUACCAUCAGUCCCGUCCCAUGCCAACAGUAAAGCAUACUGAGACCAUUCAUGUGUGGGGCUGCUUCUCAUCCAAGGGAGUGGGCUGCCUCACAAUGUUGCCAAAGAACACAGCCAUGAAUAAGCAAACAUCCUCCAACAGCAACUUCUUCCAACCAUCCAAGAACAAUUUGUGAAUAUUUUGUAUUGACCAAAUUUUGUAUAGAGCCGUUUCUAGGAUCAUGUGAGUACCAUGCCAUAAGUACCAAGUAAUAACUAAGUGGCUGGGGGAACAAGUCAUUAAAACUUUGGGUCCAUGGCCAGGAAACUCCCCAGAACCAAAUUUAAUUGAGAGUUUGUGGUCAAUCCUAAAGAGGCAGGAGGACAAACAAAAAUGACUAAUUCUGACAAACUCCAAGCAUUGAUUAUGAAAGAAUUGGCUGCCAUUAGUCACGAUUUGGCCCAAAAAUUGAUUGACAGUAUGGCAGGGCUAAUUGCAGAGGUCUUAAAAAAGAAGGACCAACACUGCAAAUACUAUCUCUUUGCAUGAAUGUGAUGUAAGUCUCAAUAAAAGCAUUUGAAACUUA